rnacentral:rRNA from 1 species
UCAUUGGCUCAGAUUGAACGCUGGCGGCAGGCUUAACACAUGCAAGUCGAGCGGGGAAAGGUAGCUUGCUACCUAACCUAGCGGCGGACGGGUGAGUAAUGCUUAGGAAUCUGCCUAUUAGUGGGGGACAACAUCUCGAAAGGGAUGCUAAUACCGCNUACGUCCUACGGGAGAAAGCAGGGGAUCUUUGGACCUUGCGCUAAUAGAUGAGCCUAAGUCGGAUUAGCUAGUUGGUGGGGUAAAGGCCUACCAAGGCGACGAUCUGUAGCGGGUCUGAGAGGAUGAUCCGCCACACUGGGACUGAGACACGGCCCAGACUCCUACGGGACGCAGCAGA